rnacentral:rRNA from 1 species
GACAGAGGGUGCAAACGUUGCUCGGAAUCACUGGGCGUAAAGGGCGUGUAGGCGGGAAGGAAAGUCAGAUGUGAAAUCCCCAGGCUCAACCUGGGAACUGCAUUUGAAACUCCCUUUCUUGAGUACCGAAGAGGAAAGUGGAAUUCCUGGUGUAGAGGUGAAAUUCGUAGAUAUCAGGAGGAACACCAGUGGCGAAGGCGGCUUCUGGACGGUAACUGACGCUGGAGAACGCGAAAGCGUGGGGA